rnacentral:lncRNA from 1 species
UGGGAUUACUUUGAGCCAGUUAAUAAUAUUGAUUUUGAGUUAAUAAUCUAUGAUAGAUGAUUUGAUUUGAUAUUUAUUAUGGAAGAAAUUCACUGACAAUAGAAAGGAUGUGUCUUUUAUUCUGGAUUAUUUCAAAUGUCGCUAUGUGAGUUUCAUAACUAGAUUGUCGAUGUACCAUUCUAAGAAAAUCUGUAGCAUCUAGAUGUUAGAUUUAUAUCAUAGAAGCCAAUUGUUGGCUAACAUAGUUUAUAAUUUCAGAGCUUAAUCUUAUACUUGUAAUAUUUUUAUUAUCAAUAAAGAGUUUUUUAUUCCAAUCAUAUUUAUGUAUCCAUGAUUUGUCCU